rnacentral:rRNA from 1 species
UCAGCAGCCGCGGUAAUACGUAGGUGGCGAGCGUUGUCCGGAAUCAUUGGGCGUAAAGAGCGCGUAGGUGGCUUGUCAGGUCUGAUGUGAAAUCCUGGGGCUCAACUCCAGAACUGCAUCGGAAACCGGCUUGCUAGAGUCUGGGAGAGGAGAGUGGAAUUCCUGGUGUAGCGGUGAAAUGCGUAGAUAUCAGGAGGAACACCGGUAGCGAAGGCGGCUCUCUGGAACAGUACUGACGCUGAGGCGCGAAAGCUAGGGGAGCGAACAGGAUUAGAUACCCUGGUAGUCCUAGCCGUAAACGAUGGACACUAGGUGUCGGGGGUGUCGACUCCCUCGGUGCCGAAGCUAACGCAUUAAGUGUCCCGCCUGGGGAGUACGGCCGCAAGGCUAAAACUCAAAGGAAUUGACGGGGGCCCGCACAAGC